rnacentral:tRNA from 1 species
GCCUGGGUGGCUCAGUUGGUUGAGCAUCUGAUUUCGGCUCAGGUCAUGAUCUCACGGUCCGUGAGUCCGAGCCCCACAUCAGGCU